rnacentral:rRNA from 1 species
GAUGAACGCUGGCGGCGUGCCUAAUACAUGCAAGUCGAGCGAACAGACGAGGAGCUUGCUCCUCUGACGUUAGCGGCGGACGGGUGAGUAACACGUGGAUAACCUACCUAUAAGACUGGGAUAACUUGGGGAAACCGGAGCUAAUACCGGAUAAUAUAUUGAACCGCAUGGUUCAAUAGUGAAAGACGGUUUUGCUGUCACUUAUAGAUGGAUCCGCGCCGCAUUAGCUAGUUGGUAAGGUAACGGCUUACCAAGGCGACGAUGCGUAGCCGACCUGAGAGGGUGAUCGGCCACACUGGAACUGAGACACGGUCCAGACUCCUACGGGAGGCAGCAGUAGGGAAUCUUCCGCAAUGGGCGAAAGCCUGACGGAGCAACGCCGCGUGAGUGAUGAAGGUCUUCGGAUCGUAAAACUCUGUUAUUAGGGAAGAACAAAUGUGUAAGUAACUAUGCACGUCUUGACGGUACCUAAUCAGAAAGCCACGGCUAACUACGUG